CGAUUAUUUCCUACAAGGGUAGGUUAUUCAAGGCUGGAGCUAAUGUGAAUUUAUAGACUUGUCAACCGUAUUGACUUGAUCGGAUUCCCUUUGCUUUAUGGAGCCAAUUCUGAGAUUGCCUUUGUAUACCAGAGAAAAUGUCUAAGACGAAAAGUUGCAGCCGAAUACGCACAACAAAUGGGUCACAUGAAGCAUAAGUGAGUUCCAAGCAUGGCUCCUGCUGUUUAUCUAAGCCCGGGAAUCAUUUCAUUCAGGAUCGUUUAGGAGUGGCAGUGGUUAUCAAGCAGUGCAAAAAGACAACGUGAGCCGUCUGAAGAAUCUGGGCAAGGAAUGCUCGGAGGCCCCUCCACCAUCAGACCCCCUCAGUUUGACAUGAGAGACCCCACCCUGUCUCAAGAAGAACCGUCCCAGUUUCAGUCAAGGAAUACACAUAGUCAUCAGGGAGGAAACCUGUGUCUUGCACGUCCAAGAGGAGCUCACGGCUCAAAAAUGCAAAUAAAAAUUCAAGUGAGGGGACAAGGCGUCAGAAAAAUAUACCAAGAAGAAUUACGACUCAGAUAAACUACUGUGACACGGUGGGUUACCUGACAGCGCAUUAAGGCCCAAUAACGGUAACAUUUAACUUCUGUGAUUUGCCUUUGUGACCCAAACGUGAGGCUGUUAGUUCCGUAAUAUAGCGCAUGAAGUGUUUUAGGUUUCUGGGGUAGCUGGCUAGGAAGGGCUUAGUGAGACAAUUAUACACUUGUGUUUUUAUUGUGUUUGCUGCCUGUUGAGAAAGAACGAUAAUGAGAUAUGAGAGAGUGAAUGGUAGGGGGUAUUACAGAGGGAACGCAAGAGAGAGAGAGAGAGAAUUAGAGUGAGAGGCAGUUAUUAUAACGACCCCCCUGGGUGUACAAUAUUGGGCUGGGCAUUGUAAGAGAGAGAGAGAGAGAGAGAGAGAGAGAGAGAGAGAGAGAGAGAGAGAGAGAGAGAGAGAGAGAGAGAGAGAGAGAGAGAGAGAGAGAGAGAGAGAGAGAGAGAGAGAGAGAGAGAGAGAGAGAGAGAGAGAGAGAGCACGAGAGAGAGCAAGGGAGCCAGAUACAGGGAGAAAGGAGAAGAGAGAGAGAUUUACAAUCAAGAAAAACAGCCUUCCCUUAGGAAGUGCUGAGCACAUUAAUUGAAGCCAGCAAUCGCUCCCACUGCCUCCCACCUCACAUGCACGCCUGAGACACGCAGGUAUGAAUGCUCACAUACGUGGAUCCUAUAUACACGAUACAAAAUAUAUAUAUAUAGUGUUUAGAACCGAUGAAAACACGCCUGACAGAGGCCAGGCCAUCCCUCUCUCACGCUCUCUUUAAAGACUCCUACAUCUGCUGCACCCAGUACUACAGCUGCACCCAGUAAGCCUGCACCCAGUUCCGCUGAUCCCAGUGCAUGUAAGCACUGGAGGAGCCAGAAGGGUUUGGAAUUCACAUUCCUAGACGGGUCUCACAGGUACAGGCUCUUUUCAAACCGUAAACCCUUUCACGGAAUUGUAAUUUCCUUAAGGUUAUUGUUUAUUUUGCGUGUGUGUGUGUAUCUCUAUCGAGAGAGAGAGAGAGAGAGAGAGAGAGAGACACAGAAAAAGAGAGAGAGAGAGAGAGAGAGAGAGAGAGAGAGAGAGAGAGAGAGAGACACAUGAAAAUAAACAUUAACUUAAAGGAAAUUACAAUUUUCCCUCAGAGAUAGAGAGAGAGAGAGAGAAAGGGAAGAGGGUCAGCUAUAAAGGGAGAGAGGGGGAGAUACACAGAGGGACAGCGAUAAAGAGAGAAAGAGGGGAGAGAGAGAAGACGGACGGUGAUAAAGAGAGAGAGGGGGGACAGAGGGAAGAGGCGCAGUGGACUGCGUCAGACCCAAUGAGGCGUCAGACCCUGAGUUUGUCCAGAUGCAGUCCUGCCUGAGACACCCUUGAUCUGCACGCUGGGAGGUGGUGUGUGUGUGUGUGUGUGUGUGUGUGUGUGUGUGUGUGUGUGUGUGUGUGUGUGUGGGAAUGGAGAGGGAAGGAGAUAGGAGGUGGACAGUGAGGCCACGGGGCAUGGCUUCUACCACUGAUUAAAUUGCCCCCCCCCCCCGCCUUCCCCCCCAAGCCCAUGAGGAGACAAAACGGAAGACUGAGGAUACCGUUUCCUGGCAACUGCUAUCGAGCGGCUAGGGAAUCAAUGUGUGUGUGUGUGUGUGUGUGGGUGUGUCGGUGGGAGUGACUUAGGGUGGGAUUCUUGAUGGCUGCUGAUGCUCCGCCUAUUCCCCAGUCUGUACUAACCAUAAGUGGCCUGUUUCUCUUCCUCUUUCAGUGCGCGCGCGUGUGUGUGUGCGUGCGUGCGUGCGUGUGUGUGUGUGUGUGUGUGUGUGUGUGUGUGUGUGUGUGUGUGUGUGUGUGUGUGUGUGUGUGUGUGUGUGUGCGUGCGUGCGUGCGUCUGCGUGCUCCUCUGCCACUUAACUGGCAGAGAAGCACAUCCGUGUCAAUAUUUCAGCUUUGCCUCUCAAAAUAAAAUGAAGUGAGCAAAAUCAAACUAUGAAAAAAAUACAAAAACUUUGUAAACUUCACUACGGAAAUUCAAUAGGAAGGGGGGGUUGAUGACCGGCCCCGCACCAGAGUCCUGGGGAAGGGGAGGGGAGUUCAGUGGAAGAGGGUUGUUGACCGACCGUCCCACUCGGGACCUGGGUGAGAGGUGUAAACACACCCGCCGAGGGCUUCCUACGACCGCUCCGAGGCGAGUGCUCGCUCGCCGGGGGAGCGUGGCGGUGUGUUUGGGGAACGGGGGCCAGCCGCCAGAGGACCUUACAGGGAGCUCCGCACAGGCCUCCCUUCCUAAAAAGGGUCUCCCACGCGGACUCAUUCACCCCCCCUCCUCGCACUACCCCCCCCCACCGGCGCCGCCACCUCCUCAUCUGCAGAGCUUCUCUUGAAUUUUGGUCAACAAGAGGCGAUAGGAUCAGUGCCCCCGCACACAAACACACACACAAACACUCACACCCACACAUACACACCCACACAUGGAACACCCACAAACAAACACAUUCGUCCAAUUCCACUGCUCUGCUGAUCCCUCUGAUCAACUGAUCAAGUGUGUGCGCGUGUGUGUGUGUGUGUGUGUGUGUGUGUGUGUGUGUGUGUGUGUGUGUGUGUGUGUGUGUAAUCUGAGUGGGAUAACAUAGCCAGCUUUCCUGGACAGGGUGGACCCCUUACUUGUACUCUCCCCAUCAGAAGGAUUCCUUCCCUUGUCCAAAGCCUGUGUGUCCCUGCCGCACACAGACACACACACACACGCACACACACUCACAUGCACACCUUCUCUCUGUGUUCUUUUACUCUUGUGUUAUUCUCUACUCCUCUUUGCCUAAUCCUACAACCCCCUGCUCUCUCUCUCUCUCUCUCUCUCUCUCUCUCUCUCUCUCUCUCUCUCUCUCUCUCUCUCUCUCUCUCUCUCUCUCUCUCUCUCUCUCUCUCUCUC
ensembl:lncRNA